CUUCGUCAGGAAUUUUGGUUUGGAUUGGAAUUGGAAUGGCUUGUAAGGCCACGAUAGACCAUUUCGUAUUUUCUCAGGUGAUAAUGAGCAUAGCACAGCUGUGAUUUCUUUUUAUUUACCUCAUUGUCUUCGAUUCAGUGCGAGGUAUAACUUAACCAAAAUGAAUACAAUAUCUAGUGAGUUAAGCAUGAACGAUCUCAACCAUAAGUUUUUCGAGAUAAUGCAAAAUGAGGCUAACGCCGAAGAAGCUGCUAGUUUUAUUUACGACAAUGUUUUGGAAGACGUCACCAUGGGGAUACUCUUUGAAUUCCAUCACGGUCUGAAGACUGGUUUGACGGAUCUGAUAGAAGGUGAAAAAGAAGAUGAUGAUAUGUACAAGAUUGUGAAUUCUCCGGAGUGCGAUGUAUUCGGUUAUUCUGUGUUGAAAAAGACGCCUGACAGCAAUUGCUCGUGCCCUAACUGUGACAGACCUGUGUCGGCUACUAGAUUUGCCCCACAUUUGGAGAAAUGUAUGGGGAUGGGCCGCAAUAGCUCCCGCAUAGCGUCACGCCGCAUUGCUUCCAACAGUCGUGAGCCGACUUCAUAUGCUGGACUACUGAGUGAUGAUGAAGACGAUGCAGACUGGGCCGGUGGCUCACUGCAAAAUGAGCGACGCAAGAGGAGGAUUAAGAACAAUAACAACAGGAAGCCUAAUAAAUUGCACAAUGGCAACAACAGGAACAACAAUGGCAAUCAGAAUGCUGACUCAAACGACGGUGGCGCCACCUACGAGACGAUGAGUGCCAAUGAGAAGAAGAAUCUCCUACUGCAGAUCUGUGGAGUUGUUUCUGAACAUACUAAGAAGUUAUGCACCAGGUCUACACGCUGCCCCCAGCAUACCGAAGAGCAACGUCGGGCUCUCCGCAACAGUGUUCUUGAGCCGUCCACUCCUGAGUCCGCUCACAUGGGCCUUGGGGAAGAGACCGGAUCUCCACCAGACUCCAGCCCAUCUUCAUCUUGCUCAUCAUCAAGCAGGAAACGGGAUAGGCAUCGGGCUAAUGUGAAGAGCAAGCGAGAAAGGAACUUGUCCCCGAAUGGAAGGGAUUAGACAUGGCAAAGGCAUAAUCAAAUAUGGACAGGUUACCUUCUUAAGAGGGUCACAGAUAUAUGAAAAAAAUAAGUUGAUGUAAUUUAACAAUCUUUUCGCAAAUGGAAGGUAAAUAAAUAAAGUAGGUAAAUUGACUGAAUCUAAAUAUUAAAAGAAAGGUGACUGACUAUGAUAUAGGUAUGUGCUAAGGAAGAAAUCUUGAAAAAUUAUUGAGGCCGCUCCAGCAGGGUUAUUCACGAAUGUUGAUAAGGCAUGUCUUCUUUCUCUUUCUAUCUUUGAGGUUAUUUGGAUAAAUAGCGCGAGAGAUAGUAAGUAAAGACUUGCCUUAUCAAAUGCAAGUGUAAAGGCCCACUUGUGUUAAGUAAUAAUCAGAUUGACAAUAUUGAAAGAUCUUGUUCAGUUAUACCGUUCAUGGGAAUUAUGUUGUUUGUGAGAAAAGAAGCAGCAUCUCAUAUUACAUAACGACGUUUAUCCUGCAUGGUUCAAAUGUUAGGUCCAGUAGCUUGCAACAGAAAUUGUGAAUUUGUGCGUGUCAGUCACAGGAAACAGAGAACUCCGUGGGGAAAGGCCCGUCGCCCACUCGCGUGGUGUAAGCUUUGACCACGCCGAGGACGUCGCCGAUCACGCUCGGCGGCAGACCCAGGCCGGUGCACACGCCGCCAAUGCUGCAGUUCGACGAAGUCACGUAAGGGUAUGUGCCUGGUA
rnacentral:misc_RNA from 1 species